UCCUGUCCGGCUCUUCUCCAUAUGAAUUCUACCCCCUAGGCGCAGAGGCCAUGGCCGGCCAGCACCCUCCCCCUCAGGGACGCUGGCAUCCUCGGGGCCAUAAGAACCGCCGGCAAGCGUGUCCGGGCGCCGCAGCUGGCCGCAUCUCCGCCCGACCUUCCUCGUCCUCCUUGUACCUCAUCUCAGCAUGACCUCCUUCGAUGGCGGCAGCAGCUGCUGCUAUGGGGCCCAUUUCUUGUGGGGAGGCAGAGAGGUUGGCCUGCGCGUCCUCGCACAGGGGAGCGACCUAGACAUUCUGGAGACGUCCUACAUCACGGCGCCCUGCAAAAGUUUGUAUGGCAGCAGGCAUGGGGAUCUAACGCUCGCUGUUCAGAAACUAGAAUUGUAUCUAGUGUUAUGUACUACUAAAAAUCUGGUCUGCAAAUUGUGUGGAGACAACAUAUGCUUGAAGGUUAACUUAAUAGCUAGCGACAUUGCCCUCUGAUAUUAACUUUAUAUAUUAAUCAAAGUUACUCGUUUCUCAAUAGGAAUUAUGGUAAAAGAAGGUCGUUUUUACCCCUCAAUGCAAAAUUAUUAUUAUGAAUUUUCAUAUGAAAUUCCAAUGAGUUGAGGCAAGAUGCAGGUUCAAUCGAUCAGAAACAUGAAACGAAAGAAUCAAGUACUACCCGUGAUGAAGGGAAAGCUGCACCACCUGGUGGAUGUCAACUAUCGAUGCCCAUUGUGAUGCAGCUCUGCCUGGACAUUCCACUUUGAAGAAGCACCACAAGGAAGAAUCAAAUGCCAUGUCAAUGGAAGAACCCACUGAAAAAGUAAAUUCUAUUUGCGUGUAUACUCUUACCACUGCUAAAAUAUCAGUUCGUUUGUUAACAAGCUGCAUAUUAUUUUAUACUUCUCAAGUUGGAUGUUGACAGUGCUCAUGAUGACAUGAGAAAGCUGCAGCAAAGGAUGAAUGAUAGGAAGUAUCUUCAUUGGUUUGCGUUGAGUCGUUGCAUGAUAAAUCUGUAUCAGAGGAAUCGAGCACACUGCAAAACCAUGCAUCUCUUUAUUUUAUAAGAUUUUUUAUUGACGAUGUGUUAUGGUCUCGUAAUUAUCAUAAAAAUUAUGCUAUUUGUUUAAUUAUGUUCCUGUUUAGCUUAUAUGCUUUAUGAUCAUUUGUGGAUGGCAGAAGUGAUGAUAUUAUAUCCAUACCACAAUUUUGCAUAUACUGUGAAAAUUACAUCAUGCACUACUCUCCGGUCUCCUCACUCAUUUUUAGUUGAUACUUUUAAAUUAAAAUCUUUUGGUGAACCAUUGAGGGUAUGUAAUGGCUAAUUGGUUUUAUUGAUGUGCAAUCUGUUGGUGAAGCAUAUCACCUUUCAUGAUAUGCUUGUCGGUGUACGGUCAGGUGCCAAAAGGUGAGAUCAAGAGAUGUCCACACUCCAUCGACAGACCAUUUCCUUCGCUAAAUGGA